UGAAUGUGAAGGCAGCUAGUGAUAGGCUAGUGAAAGUGCUAGAGGGACAAAUAUCAGGUGUCAGUGAUUUGGUUUGGAUGGAGAUAGUUUUCUUCACAAUAGCUGGUAGAAUACAGUGUUGGAUUUUGGAUAAAAACAAUAUUGAUAGCACACUGAUACUUCAGUUACUACAGAGCAAUGCUUACGUACAUUCAGGAAUGUUUCAGCUACUAAUGCUGCCCUGCAAGCAAGGAGAUGCGGAUGCAUGAGGAGGGAACAGAACCAGGACAGCUGACCCAAUUUACCAGAGGGAUGUCCCAUACCACGUGGCAUCAUGCUCAACAUUAAAACCUGGGGAAAGAAGGAGAACAAGGGGGAUUUCAGAGUUAUCAUUUUUGCCUUCCCAAGAAACUGUUAUGUGUGAUGAGCCCUGCUUUCCUAUGAAUAGCAGAACAACUGCCUGCAGAUGGGAAGCAAAAGGAAAGUCCUGCUGUAGCUCACUGCUCAGACCACUCCUCAUCAGUUUUACAAAUGUACAACCAAGCACUGUCUUGGUGUGCUGAAGUCAAAACAAGAUUCAUUGGAUUGACUCUUCACCACUUUCCAGUCUGACUCUAACAUUUUCACUGGCACUGUGGAAUUGCCUCUGGCAAAGACUGAUAAUGUCAGGAGGAUGGAGGAAAGAAGGACUGGACUACGCAGCUAAAUUAAGGAAUACAAACAUGGUUCUUGGCAGCUAUUCUCCUUCAGAAUGUUUCAUUAACCGGAUUAUUACUCAAGGACCUCAAGACCUUCAAGAACUUACAUACAAGGUAGCCAAAUGCGACCUUUAGGAGUUAUUGCAGUCCCAUCACAAUUACCACAUUCCCAUCAUGUCAAAGGUAACAGGACAAAGUGAGCUCUCUAACGUGCAUGAUACCUCCUUGAAAUGUGUCUCAUCUGAAUGUCUGUGUAUAGAUUUUUAUAUGUGAUCUAAACUUCAAUUAUAAUCAGUGGAGAUCUAAGAUUCAACACUUUCCACCAGAUAAGAGUCUGGUGAUACUUGAUAUGCCUCAAGAUACCUGAGACUUCCAUCUAGAUCUGAAAAGUCCUGUGAACUUCUCUUUGGCUGGUAUCAAGAGCUAGACAUUUUACAACUUGGAUGGCAGGAGUAGUGUCUUAGUCUGGCAGAAAGACCCUGCUAUAGUAACCAGCAAUGAGAAGAAAUUGAACCAUGUAGUGAACCUCAAUCAGCCUUGCUUGGAGAUGUCUUUCCCAAACCCAGCUGUGGUGCCCACAUGUGCAAAGCAGCCAACCCUCAGCUUGUGUAUCCUGGACAGGUGGGCAUGCAGGUCUGAGAUAUUGGCUAACGGUGUGUAUGGGAGCUGUUUCUACUUCCAGCUGAGAAAAAAUUAUUUUGGAAAUACUUCAACCAUCAAAGAAGCUGCAAGUCUACACAGGUAGCUCUGUAAGCUCCUAACUUGUGACCCCAUCAUCCAACGUUACAUAACCUGAAAGUAGCCCUUCAUUAUAUCGAUCGUCUCUAGUCAAAGGCAUGAGGAGUACUUUCUGCAGUUGGAUCCACAAGAUGCUUACCAUCCUGCAGCAGUGCCCUGACACCAGCUGCAGUUACGUGGCUCACUCUGGAUGUCUGCAGUGCAGCAGUGAGCUUGUCCUGCCCACUGUCAGAUCAGUGAGGGGUGUGAAGGCUGUGGUCAUGGCUGAAGGCAUCAAAAACUGGAGCUCUUGUGUAAGCACAGCAUAUACAUGCAAAAAAUACACUAGAUAUCACAGUAAUAAUGACUGAUAUA
ensembl:lncRNA